GGCGCGCAAAUUACCCAAUCCAGACAUUGGGAGGUAGUGACGAGAAAUACUGGGGGCGCUCCAUGUGAGUGCCAUCCGGAAUGAACGUAACACAAAAAAUUCGAUGAGGAUCUACUGGAGGGCAAGUCUGGUGCCAGCAGCCGCGGUAAUUCCAGCUCCAGUAGUGUAUAUCAACAUUGUUGCGCUUAAAACGCUCGUAGUUGGAUUACAGGGCUUCAAACACGGCCACUUGUACGUGGUCGUGGUCGUAGCAGGCCGGCAACCUACGCGGUUGGUGGUAGCUCGAUGGAGCCCUUUUGUCGCACUGGCCCCGGUCGAUGCCUUUGCUGGCGUUGGUCGGUUGCCGGUGGAGUGUGCCUUGAAUAAAGCAUAGUGCUCAAAGCAGGCGUACGCUCGUGUGUAAUAGCAUGGAACGAAUAUAUCUUGACCGCCGCCAGGUUAGCGCCGUGUCACAGCGGCGUUGCAUGGGGGUAGGUUCGAUCAGUGUUGGUUGGAACCACGGUCUCAACGGUUAACAGGGACACCUGAGGGCACUAGUACUUUGUGGCGAGAGGUGAAAUUCUUAGACCCACAAAAGACUGACUACUGCGAAAGCAUUUGCCAAGAGUGUUUUCAUUAAUCAAGAACGAAGGUCAGAGGAUCGAAGACGAUCAGAUACCGUCCUAGUUUUGACAGCAAACUAUGCCAGCAUAGGGUCGGAGCGGUCGCUCGUUAACAGCGAGUCGGACUACUGCGGGCCUUAAGGGAAACCUAGCUUUCGGGCUGCUGGGAGAAUAUCGCUGCAAGGCUGAAAUUUAAAGAAAUUGACGGAGAGGCACCACCAGGAGUGGAGCCUGCGGCUUAAUUUGACUCAACACGGGGAAACUCACCAGGUCCAGACAUUGGUAGGAUUGACAGACUGGUAGAUCUUUCAUGAUUCAGUGAAUGGUGGUGCAUGGCCGUUCUUAGUUGGUGGAGUGAUCUGUCAGGUCUAUUCCGGUAACGAGCGAGACCACGGCCUCUAGUUAUCAUGUCGUCGAGCCUUGCGCCCGGCCGGCUAACUAGAGGGACUAUUGGUGUUUAAACCAGAGGAAGCGUGGCAAUAACAGGUCUGUGAUGCCCUUCGAUGUCCUGGGCUGCACGCGCGCUACAAUGGCAGCAGUAGAGAGUAUGGCUAGCCAGAGAUGGCCGGUUAAACUGUAAAUCGCUGUCGUGAUAGGGAUUGAGCCUUGUAAUUAUUGCUCAUGAAAGAGGAAUUCCUCGUAAGCACUAGUCAUCAGCUAGUGUUGAAUACGUCUCUGCCUCUUGUACACACCGCCCGUCGCUACUACCGAUUGAAUUGCUUUU
rnacentral:rRNA from 1 species